CGCUUAUUGAAUCUGUGCUGAGAUUUUGUCAGACACCAACACAUUAGGGCUGAUCACACUUCCAAGAUAAGUGAAGUU
rnacentral:pre_miRNA from 1 species